UUGAUCUUUUCUAUUUUUCAGUCACUCAGAGGGUGGGACAGGAGGAAGAGUGAAAGAAAAGGUCAA
ensembl:misc_RNA